rnacentral:rRNA from 1 species
CAGUCGCCGCGGGAACACGAAGGGGGCUAGCGUUGUUCGGAAUUACUGGGCGUAAAGCGCACGUAGGCGGCUUGGUAAGUUAGAGGUGAAAGCCCGGAGCUCAACUCCGGAAUUGCCUUUAAGACUGCCGAGCUAGUAGGUGAGAGAGGUAAGUGGAAUUCCGAGUGUAGAGGUGAAAUUCGUAGAUAUUCGGAAGAACACCAGUGGCGAAGGCGGCUUACUGGCUCAUUCUAGACGCUCAGGUGCGAAAGCGUGGGGAGCAAACAGGAUUAGAUACCCCAGUAGUCCCUGUCUCUUAUAC